rnacentral:rRNA from 1 species
GACGAACGCUGGCGGCGUGCUUAACACAUGCAAGUGGAGCGACGAACCAGGGCUUGCCCUGGGGCAGAGCCGCGAACGGGUGAGUAACACGUGGGUAACGUGCCCCAAUGAUCGGGACAACCCGGGGAAACCCGGGCUAAUACCGAAUGUGCCCCCCUCACACCAGUGAGGGGUGGAAAGGAAGCUUCGGCCUCCGCAUUGGGAUCGGCCCGCGGCCCAUUAGCUUGUUGGUGAGGUAACGGCUCACCAAGGCUGCGAUGGGUAGCUGGUCUGAGAGGACGAUCAGCCACACUGGGACUGAGACACGGCCCAGACUCCUACGGGAGGCAGCAGUGGGGAAUCUUGCGCAAUGCGCGAAAGCGUGACGCAGUAACGCCGCGUGGGGGAAGAAGGCCUUCGGGUUGUAAACCCCUUUCAGGAGGGACGAAGCGUGGGCCGUUAAUAGCGGAUCCACGUGACGGUACCUCCAGAAGAAGCCCCGGCUAACUACGUGCCAGCCGCCGCAGUAACAC